rnacentral:piRNA from 1 species
UCAGCAGUCAGUGGUUGCCGGCAG